UCAUUAAGGGUACAACUGGUAUAU
rnacentral:siRNA from 1 species